rnacentral:pre_miRNA from 2 species
GUGGUGUGUCAUGAUCAUUGUUGACCGUUCAUAUAACCAAUGCAAUUGCUUUGCAACUUAUGCGAGGGUUACAUAACGGUCAACAGAGACCUUUGACAUCAAAGA